rnacentral:rRNA from 1 species
GGUAAGGCCCUUCGGGGUACACGAGCGGCGAACGGGUGAGUAACACGUGAGCAACCUGCCCCUGACUCCGGGAUAAGCGGUGGAAACGCCGUCUAAUACCGGAUACGACCCCCCACCUCAUGGUGGAGGGUGGAAAGUUUUUCGGUCAGGGAUGGGCUCGCGGCCUAUCAGCUUGUUGGUGGGGUAACGGCCUACCAAGGCGAUUACGGGUAGCCGGCCUGAGAGGGCGACCGGCCACACUGGGACUGAGACACGGCCCAGACUCCUGCGGGAGGCAGCAGUGGGGAAUAUUGCGCAAUGGGCGAAAGCCUGACGCAGCGACGCCGCGUGGGGGAUGACGGCCUUCGGGUUGUAAACCUCUUUUACCACCAACGCAGGCUCCCAGUUCUCUGGGGGUUGACGGUAGGUGGGGAAUAAGGACCGGCUAACUACGUGCCAGCAGCCGCGGUAAUACGUAGGGUCCGAGCGUUGUCCGGAAUUAUUGGGCGUAAAGAGCUCGUAGGCGGCGUGUCGCGUCUGCUGUGAAAGACCGGGGCUUAACUCCGGUUCUGCAGUGGAUACGGGCAUGCUAGAGGUAGGUAGGGGAGACUGGAAUUCCUGGUGUAGCGGUGAAAUGCGCAGAUAUCAGGAGGAACACCGGUGGCGAAGGCGGGUCUCUGGGCCUUACCUGACGCUGAGGAGCGAAAGCAUGGGGAGCGAACAGGAUUAGAUACCCUGGUAGUCCAUGCCGUAAACGUUGGGCGCUAGGUGUGGGGACUUUCCACGGUUUCCGCGCCGUAGCUAACGCAUUAAGCGCCCCGCCUGGGGAGUACGGCCGCAAGGCUAAAACUCAAAGGAAUUGACGGGGGCCCGCACAAGCGGCGGAGCAUGUUGCUUAAUUCGACGCAACGCGAAGAACCUUACCAAGGUUUGACAUCACCCGUGGACUCGCAGAGAUGUGAGGUCAUUUAGUUGGCGGGUGACAGGUGGUGCAUGGCUGUCGUCAGCUCGUGUCGUGAGAUGUUGGGUUAAGUCCCGCAACGAGCGCAACCCUUGUUCCAUGUUGCCAGCACGUAAUGGUGGGGACUCAUGGGAGACUGCCGGGGUCAACUCGGAGGAAGGUGGGGAUGACGUCAAGUCAUCAUGCCCCUUAUGUCUUGGGCUGCAAACAUGCUACAAUGGCCGGUACAAUGGGCGUGCGAUACCGUAAGGUGGAGCGAAUCCCUAAAAGCCCGUCUCAGUUCGGAUUGGGGUCUGCAACUCGACCCCAUGAAGGUGGAGUCGCUAGUAAUCGCGGAUCAGCAACGCCGC